GAUGAAGAACGUAGCGAAAUGCGAUACGUAAUGUGAAUUGCAAAUUCAGUGAAUCAUCAAGUCUUUGAACGCACAUUGCGCCCCCUGGUAUUCCGGGGGGCAUGCCUGUCCGAGCGUCAUUGCUGCCCUCAAGCACGGCUUGUGUGUUGGGCCCCGUCCUCCGAUCCCGGGGGACGGGCCCGAAAGGCAGCGGCGGCACCGCGUCCGGUCCUCGAGCGUAUGGGGCUUUGUCACCCGCUCUGUAGGCCCGGCCGGCGCUUGCCGAUCAACCCAAAUUUUUAUCCAGGUUGACCUCGGAUCAGGUAGGGAUACCCGCUGAACUUAAGCAUAUCAAUAAGCGGAGGA
rnacentral:misc_RNA from 1 species